CUUCAAAGAAUUUCCAGCUGAAACAGGAAUUACAAAAGAGGCCUUGCUGCAGGGUAUGAACUCACUAACUUAUUUCACAGUCACUCUGUAUGGUGGGCUUCACUGAUAAUAAUUAUAAGUGAAAAACAUGCAAAAUCUUUAACUAUUCUUUGUUGCAUUGUGCCCCAAGUUAUAUCUGUGCCACUUCUGUAUGUUUGGGUUAUUUGAGGAUGAUUAAAAGGUUAUUUGAGGAUAAUUGAACACUGCAUUUAGCGGAGAAUUUUCUGCAUUGCCCUGGUUCUAGCAAAAAUACUGAAAUCAGUUUUACAGUAACUCCAAACUGCAGUAUAUUGGUUACUAAUAUUAAAAAUGAAGAUGGGUCUCCUCAUGAAUACUGAACAUUUUGUUAUUGUUUCAGCACUGGCUGGACCAGUCACCUUACUGAUAUGGUUUUACUGAUAGUUUUACUGCAAUGGAUAAACAGGUGAUACAAAUUGAAAAGGGGCUGAAGGAAGCACUGUGGGUUUUUUUGCUGUGUGUGGACUCAGAAUUGUGUUCCGAUUUUCUCUCUAAAUUUCAAGUAGUUUCUUAAACUUUUGAAUGUUUUAAUCUGGAGAACCUUAUUGUCUUUCUGUAGUUCCUUGCUUGCCUAUUGUUGAAAAUGUCUAGUAUCCCACAGAGACCUCAGGGAGUUUCUUUUGUACGGAUGUGUGUUUCUCUGAGCACUUGUGCUGACAGCCUUGCUGUGAGGUGGGAGACUGGGCACAGGCUGCCUUGACUGUAUGGCCAGGAAGCCAAGAGCUGGGUUAAAGGCUGUCAUAUGCAGCAUUUCGUGUUGCUGUUGCUAAAUGUCAGAGUUUGUCAACAUCCUUACUGUCUGUUUCAGUAUGUAAAAUAGAGAUAAUCCUCUUCUUAUUAAUGAAAUAGAUGGGGUGCCAGCUGAGAGAGAGAUACAGUGGUCUGUCUGGCAAGUGUCUGGCAUACAACUCACUUAUUCAGUUCAUAUAGUGCUGAUGCAGCAAAUGUGUGUGUUUUUUAUGUUAAAGCCAGAUAUGAAUUCUUUUUCAUAGCUUUUGUUUAUGUAAAAUCACUCUAUUAUACUGGAGGAAAAACAAGAUAUGUAUUGCACAUUUCUUUAUAUUAUUAAAAAAUAUUACUUGAGGGCACUAAAAGGGGACUUUAGGUAUCUAGUUAUUAAAUCUUUAUAUUCUUUAGUUGCAUUUCUUCAGUCAAAAUCUCCAAUGGUCCAUAGAAACCCUGGUGAAUCCUGUAUUAUUUUUGCAAAGUUCUGUGUGUGUGCAGAAAUGGGACACAGAAUGAUGAAGAGCCUAACCUGGGAUUGCACUUGAACCCAGAGGAAAGGCUUUGGUUGGAGUAAGGGAUGGGAUGGAAGAGAGUGUAGCAAGGUGGGCACAUUUUCAGAGGAGCUUUAAGGCUAAGAGCAAUACUGUGAAUUGAAUUUAGGAUUUACUUAUUCCCUGAAUAGCGUGCUGUAUACUUUUGUUACAUGAGCAGAACAAAUGGAUGAUUUCUAUGGAGAUAUGUCUUAGAAAACAAGGACUUUUUAAGUUUUGGUUUUUUUUAUUUAGCUCACACAGUUGGGGGUGGAGCUUUUUGAGCACUGUUUUUCCAACUUCCUAACCUCUGCAUAAGAGCAUUAAUUCUGUAGAUAAGUUAAUUUUAAAAAUCUUAAGCCUACAUUAUACCUGACUGACAGGGGAGCAUUAUAAUAUUGUCCUCAUGGGACAGAGGAUGUAUGCUUGUGUUUGACCAGAAAAAUGUUACAAAUUUAUUGUGAAACCCAGAAGGCUCAGUUGACAGCAAUGGCAAGUUUACAGGAGAACUGUGACUGACUGGAGUCUAUUGCAGCCUAAAUAAAUAUGAGAAGUCAUCAUAAAAUGUCUGUUAAAUUUAGUGGCUCUUAAGUAUGGCGUCUAAUUAGUCUUUACAACAUAAAGAAAAAGAUUACACAUGGUUUUCACCCUUUAAGCUGUGAUUGUUAAGAGAUUCUUUUCUUUUUCCUGCUCUUGGUACUUAGAAAAUUAUUACAAUGAAGUGACAGUGUUAUUUUCUGUGUUGUGUUUUCUUUUAGUGUGUUUUUUGGUUUUUUUGUUUGUUUUUUUUUUUUUUAAAUUUUCGACAUAAAAGAAAUUAGCUCUAGUUAAAGGCUGGCUUCUAAAUAGUGGAUUUUGGUAAUGCUUCUUACCUCUCUUUGUUGGGCUUUAUAUUGAUAUCACAAAUGAUAUUAAUAUCAGCAAAUUUUAUUCUGAAUUUGCUUAGGAGUGAAGCCAUCCUGAAAACAAAAGAGAAGAUGUUUUACCACUGCACUUCUGAGUGCCUUAUAUCAAAGAACACUUUAAAAUGAGUUAGACAACUGCAUUUUAUAUCUUAUCUUUAACUAUAUGACAAAUUACUUUAGUGUUUCAAUUUCCAGUUACAGAACAGGAUUAAUGUGGUUGAAGUAGCAUAAUUCAUUUAACUGAUGAUUGAUGAAAAUCACAAAAUAAAAAGAAAAUAAUAGCAGACAGGGGGCAGGCAGAGUGUUUACAUUUUGAGAAAACAGUGGUAUUUUAAGUAUUCCCAAAGACUUGAGUUGUAAAGGAAGAAAAUUCAAUAUACAGUAGGUCAGAAUUCUCUAAUACUUACAGAAGGCUUCUGUUACUCUGUUACUGUCAGAAUACUGUGGAUGGAGAUUUACAAUACUGGUAGUGCAUGUGUUGGUGAAAAUUUGGUGAUGACCAAUACUUAAAAUAAUCUUCAUAUUUUUAAUUUAUGAAUUUAUAUUGAUUUACUCACAUGCUCAUAAAAGAAAAUACUUUGCUUUUCUGCCCCAGUUGGCAGAAGGAAUAUAGUUUUUUGUGUGUUUGUGCUGAGGAUAGAGAGGUUUAAUUAGGUCAGGUUUGCCUUUGUUUGAUCCAUGUUUGGGAUCUUGUGGUUCUUCCCCACACCUCCUUCUCCCACCUCCUUUUUGUUUCUAUUUUUAGUAUAUAAGCUUUGGAUUUUGAAAAGGUCAGAGAGUUCCUAGGAGCAAACCACGCUAGAAAUACGUAUUUGUUUAUGACCUAAGAGUUUACUCUUUUUUUUAAAAAAAACGUAUUUAUAUAAAAAGAACAUACUGCUUGUAUAAACCUUGAUGUCCCUUGUGGCAAUCCCUGUUUGGAACAUGAUAAAGAGCAAAAUCUCAAAUUCUGUGGAAAGGUUCUAAUAUUUGGGGAAUUACAUAUUAGUAAAAGUCCAGUUAAAUUUUACUUCUGAAUUCAAAAUACAUGGCUGGAAUUGUACUUGGGUGAUUUUCUAUUAGAUCUACCUAGGGAAUGGAGGAAUCACCCAGCCCAGAUUUGUCUCUGAAGGCUUUUGCAUGUGGCAGUCUCUAGAUCUUCCUGGCACCUGGUGGGAGCUGCAUGCACAGCCAGAUGUAGCAGUCUCUGCAGGUGAAAACUCUCAAAAUACAUGUCUGUGUACAAGCAUGGCUUCAGGUGAGUCAUUAUCAUUACAGCCUAGCAGUUGUGAAAUGAGACCUUAAAUUGGGUCUGUAUCAUUUUACUAUAUCUGAAACGUAAUAUUGACUUCAUCACCUACACAUUUAAGUUAUGUGUUAAUUAGUUACUUGACAGUAUGUUGUAUAUGUACUUUCAGUACUUUUGCCACCUUCACUUGUGCAUUUGUAUGAAAUUAUGCUUGGAAUAUAGAGCAGUUGUGCUAUUUUUACCUGGUUUUCAGUUGUGUACUGAGUUUGUGUGUGUGUGUGUAUGUUAAGUAAGAUUGCUUGUUCCCUGCAUAUUGUGCAUAUGUUCCAAUUUUCUAUAGAGAGGAAAAAUGCUUCUGUUUAAAAGCUUAAAACACCCUAUUAAAAAGAAAAAAACAAGCCCAAACCCCCCCAACCAACUUGUUCUGUAUUCCUCAAACUUCAAUAACUGUGUUCUAUUUUUGACAAGUAGAAAUGAACAUAAGCUGAGCUGAGAAGUUUAUCUAGCAAAUGAGGGGAAAGGUGUUGUAGACAGAGUGUCCUACGAGCAGAGGAUGUCACUGUGCUCCAUUACAGGGCUGUACCAUGGUUUGCUCAAGCAAGGCUCUGUUCCAGGGGCUUCUCUGUGGCUCAGGAGUUUUUGGCUUGGAGUAAAGCCCAUAUUGUAUAUUGGUGAAAGUGUGAUGCAUUGAAGGGUGGAGGAUAAGUUGUAAUUUUGGAACUUACCCUUCUUUGUUUCGUGUUUUGAUAUAUUCAAUGUGCUGGCUUUUUUGAAGAAUCCACAGAUGCCCCUUUUUCCUUCUUCAAAAUCAUUUUCUUUAAUGGUGGCUUCCAGUGCCAAUCUCUCCUGCUCCAGCUUCUCUAAUUCCUCUGUAUAUUAGAAAAAGUAAGACAACUGGUAACACAUUGGUGUCUUUUAAAUGAAAUCCCUGACUGAACUAAUGGUGAUGAUGUGGUUGGUGUUGUGGUACUUUUUAGACAAUGUAAAGUUCCUGGUAUGAAAAUUUCUUUUAGAAUGCUUUUUCUUUGCAAACCAGUAGGGAGAAGAAAGCUGAAUUCACCUCUAGAAGCCCGAGCUUGGGGUGCCUGUGCCUACAGCACUGUGCUGUGCCAGCUGCUCUCAGGUUGUCUCUUCCCAAUCUAAUUCAGUAUUAUGACAUUUUAUAGUUACAUGAGAUAUUAUUUAUUGAGUUAUGUUUGUGGAUGUUUAGUUGGUUUCUUUAGCCAGGAAUUUGAAAAGACAUUAGGAAAGCUGUUUUCCUACCCUGAGGAAGCUGACGUAUUUAGUUCUAGCCUGUGGGUCUCUUUUCUUAGAACAAAAUCUCAUGGUUUGUACUUUGAGAUUUUCAGAAAUAUGUAAGAAUCCUGAAUAUACAAUCAUUCUCCAUGCAGAAAUAUUUUUCAUGUUUUAAUUUUUUGAGCAUUAGCUGCAAAGAUGUAAGAUUUAGCUAAUCAAUUCUGUAAACUGAGUAAUACAGAAGAAUAAUUUAAUCUUAGCAAUAUUAGAAUUUUGCUGAGGAAACAGUACCAUGUGUUAUUGUGGAAUGUAUUAUGGUGAGGCACUAAUUAAUAUGAUCCAGGCAUUUGCCUGCAGAAAUAAGGAAAUCAUAAGGAAAUCUUCUAUUUGAGCAACACAUUAACUAAAUAUGAGGUAAGUUCAUUUAAGACUUUGUGUUAAAAAAGUAGAAUAAACCCUCACUAGCUAGACAUUAUUAGCUCUGUUAGCACUCUCACUUGCCCACAGAAAGAUUAUACUUUCUUUUACUUUUUAAUCAAUGACAGCCACAUACUUCUGAUUAUUAGACAUGGUGAUAGCCACAAACUUAAUGGUUACUCAAAACUAAAAUUACAGCUUUUCUAUUGAACAGAAUGCUGUACCAAGAGAACACAAUGAUCAUUGUUUUCCAUUACAAUGACUGUAUCUGCUUCAAAAUAUUUCUUUGUAUUUGAGGCUCCCCCCUUAAUUCUUUCGCCUUGACUCCUUGUGUCAACACUUGGAGAACAUUUGUUCAUUUGUAAGAUUGCAGAGUUGUUUUUCAUUGUACUUUUACAGGUGUUCCAAUGACUGUAUAUUUUGAGCACUCAGUUGCUGACUCGCAUCAAGCAGAGACAGGCAGAUAUCUCUCAGAAAUCACGAGGGAGAGAAGAAAAACUUGAUUAUUUUGGAAUCUUUUCUGAGUCCCUGUAGCUUUGCCCCGUGGGUCUCCAAGCACAUCAGACUGCCAGCGAGUCGCCACGUACCUUGAACCUGAAGAACCUGAGAUAUAUCAAAUCCUUGGCUAAUUCUGACGAUAAUUACGCCAAGCUCAAAAUCAAAGGCAUCACUGGAAAGAAAGAAAAAGAAGAGUAAACGUGAUUUUUACAUCGUGCAUGUUGAUGAGAAAAACUAUUUUGAAAAGGUCAGUGAAAGUGUUUGUAGGGAGGACAGGCUAGGUAACAUUGCAGAAGGAAUUGCCCCAGAUUAAGUUGUAGUACUUCCCUCAUUAAAAAAAAAAGUUUUAUUGGGCAUGGAAACAAAUUAGCUAUUCCUGAAAUGGGUCUUUCAGAUAGCACUUUUUUAGGAGCAAGGUUGCCAUAGGGUAAUUUUUUUCUCCCUUCUGUUAGGCAAUAACAAAACUGAGGUGGGGUUUGUUGCUCCAUAACUCACUUCAGUGUUACAAGUGAAUUUUGAGCAAGCAUCUAUGAGAAGCCUGUUCUAAAAUGACUGUUCCCUAGCUAAAUCCCAACCCACAAAGCUGCUGAGCCUUAGGCACACAUGAGAUUUGAAGCAAAGCUCUUCCUCAGUCUCCUAGGCUUAAAAGAAGAACUCCAUGAUGUUCUCGUAUUCCCUUAAUACGUAUGUUAGGGUUGUUUUUCUCUGAGCUCCUGCCCACUAAAAAUGGGAAAAUACAGUUCUGCAAAAGCACUGCUGACAGCAGUGCAGCUUCUUUAGCACUGUCAAGCCACAUCAGCUCUGAUGGUGCCAGGUGUUUGCUAAGCAGAUCCUAUGAGGUGUGGGAAGCCAGUGAACCUUUUUUGAUGGACAAUAACUUCAGCCACAGCGCUAGGAUGUGUGAACCCAGGUUUGUACAUAGGUCCUUGCAUUGUUUCUACACAUCAAAUUCUAUAUGGAAAUGCUACAUUAAUCUAGUCUAAGAGGAGUGAAAAAGGAGGUGCUGAGCUGACUUACUGUAUAA